rnacentral:rRNA from 1 species
ACCUGACUGCUAUCGGAUUGGUACUAAGCCAUGUGAGUCGUUGUAGCAAUACAAGGCAUACGGCUCAGUAACACGUAGUCAAUCUAACCUAUGGACGGGGAUAACCUCGGGAAACUGAGGAUAAAACCCGAUAGAUCAUAAUGCCUGGAACGGUUUAUGGUCCAAAUGAUUCGUCGCCGUAGGGUGGGACUGCGGCCUAUCAGCUUGUUGGUGAGGUAAUGGCCCACCAAGGCUAUUACAGGUACGGGCUCUGAGCGGAAGCCCGGAGAUGGGCACUGAGAUAAGGGCCCAGGCCCUACGGGGCGCAGCAGUUGCGAAAACUCCGCAAUGCACGAAAGUGUGACGGGGCUACCCCGAGUGCCGUCCGCUGAGGAUGGCUUUUCUCCGCUGUAAGGAGGCGGAGGAAUAAGGAGAGGGCAAGACUGGUGUCAGCCGCCGCGGUAAUACCAGCUCUCCGAGUGGUAGGGGUGAUUAUUGGGCUUAAAGCGUCCGUAGCCGGCCUGGCAAGUCUUCCGUUAAAUCCAGCAACCUAAUUGUUGGGCUGCGGGGGAUACUGUUAGGCUUGGGGGCGGGAGAGGCCGACGGUAUUCUCGGGGUAGGGGUGAAAUCUUAUAAUCCCGAGAGGACCACCAGUGGCGAAGGCUGUCGGCUAGCACGCGCCUGACGGUGAGGGACGAAAGCUGGGGGAGCGAACCGGAUUAGAUACCCGGGUAGUCCCUGCUGUAAACGAUGCGAGCUAGGUGUUGGGGCGGCUACGAGCCGCUUCAGUGCCGCAGCGAAGGCGUUAAGCUCGCCGCCUGGGGAGUACGGCCGCAAGGCUGAAACUUAAAGGAAUUGGCGGGGGAGCACCACAAGGCGUGAAGCUUGCGGUUCAAUUGGAGUCAACGCCGGGAACCUUACCGGGGGCGACAGCAGGAUGAAGGCCAGGUUGAUGGUCUUGCUGGACGAGCUGAGAGGAGGCGCAUGGCCGUCGUCAGUUCGUGCCGUGAGGUGUCCCCUUAAGUGAGGUAACGAUCGAGACCCGCGCCCCUUGUUGCUAACAGACUCCAUCGGGGUCUGUGCACACUAGGGGGACCGCCGUCGAUAAGACGGAGGAAGGAGCGGGCCACGGCAGGUCAGUAUGCCCCGAAUCCCCCGGGCCACACGCGAGCUGCAAUGGCAGGGACAAUGGGUGUCGACUCCGAAAGGAGGAGGUAAUCUCUAAACCCUGCCUCAGUUGGGAUCGAGGGCUGAAACCCGUCCUCGUGAAUAUGGAAUGCCUAGUAAUCGCGCGUCAUCAUCGCGCGGUGAAUACGUCCCCGCUCCUUGCACACACCGCCCGUCGUUCCAUCCGAGUGGGGUUUGGGUGAGGCGUAGUCCUUGGUGGCUGCGUCGAACUCAGGUUUCGCAAGGAGGGAA